UUUUUACUAUUACGCAAAUUAAUCUCUUAUAUGUGCGGCCUGUAGUGAAGUGUUGCUAAAUGUCAUUGCAAAUGAGAUCUUAACGACAGGUGUGUGGCAAGGAGUCUAUUAAAAAUAACAAACUACGACGAUCAAUGCAGGUGUAGGUAAAGAAGCGUUUAAAGGACCCAAAAAUCGUACACCAAGUCUGAAACUUCUCCGAGACCGUACAGCGAACACACUGAAAAAUAUACCUACAGUGCUGCACUUACGAAAACUCACUACAGUGUGCUAUGGGUGAAAGGAGCAAAUAAUUAGUGAACAAUGAGAGCUUCUGAUUGCGAUGACUGACGAUAGUAUCAACAAGGAAAAACGCCACUGACUAGCCAGUUACAUUUGGUAACAUGAUGAAAAAAUAGUUCCAUUCAAUAUCAUCAACGAGUAUUUAUUAAUCAAUAAAAUUAUUUCAAAUAUUAACAAGAAAGGAAGACAUUUACUAAUUGUUUACAUUUGGAAAAGAAACGAGUAUUUGGUACUUAUUAAGGACUCGGAAUGAUAUAGGACUGAAGUUAAAUAAAGAAACAAUAUGUUUACUAACUUCAUAUGGUUACUUUUAGGAAUAUGGGUCGAGCACAAUACCAAUGCAAGGUGAGUGCCAGUGUUCGCAAAAAUUCGUGAUAGUGUAAGACUAGAUUUAUUUUCCAUUUUAUGUAAUAGCAAGAAGAUGAGACCUCAAUUAACUAUUUAAAAAAUUACAAUAUAACUAACAUUUCCUUGGAACUCAGAAACGUUUAAAUGUCAAAGCCUAGAAUAUUAAUAAUUUUAU